AGCAGUCGCCGCGGGAAUACGUAGGGUGCAAGCGUUAAUCGGAAUUACUGGGCGUAAAGCGUGCGCAGGCGGUUAUAUAAGUCAGAUGUGAAAUCCCCGGGCUCAACCUGGGAACUGCAUUUGAGACUGUAUGGCUAGAGUGUGUCAGAGGGGGGUAGAAUUCCACGUGUAGCAGUGAAAUGCGUAGAGAUGUGGAGGAAUACCGAUGGCGAAGGCAGCCCCCUGGGCCAAUACUGACGCUCAUGCACGAAAGCGUGGGGAGCAAACAGGAUUAGAUACCCCAGUAGUCCCUGUCUCUUAUAC
rnacentral:rRNA from 1 species